rnacentral:rRNA from 1 species
GGAGAGCGUUCUAAGGGCGUCGAAGGCAGAUCGUGAGGACUGCUGGAGCGCUUAGAAGUGAGAAUGCCGGUAUGAGUAGCGAAAGACAGGUGAGAAUCCUGUCCACCGAAUGACUAAGGUUUCCUGGGGAAGGCUCGUCCGCCCAGGGUUAGUCGGGACCUAAGCCGAGGCCGACAGGCGUAGGCGAUGGAUAACAGGUUGAUAUUCCUGUACCCGUUGUUUUUGUUUGAGCAAUGGAGGGACGCAGGAGGCUAAGGAAUGCAGACGAUCGGAAAUGUCUGUCCAAGCAGCAAGUCUGAAGAGGAGUUAAAUGCUUCUUUUCUUAAGG